rnacentral:snoRNA from 1 species
GACCUUUUUUUUGACCUGUCGGCCGUGGCAGUCUUCCUAGCCAUGGAAGAGCACAUUCUUAUUUACUGGCAAAGCCAUCACCACUUAACGGGCAUUAGAUUCUGACUUGCACAGAUAACCUCU